GCCUAAAAUUUUACCUGCUGUUCUCCUAAAGAUGUUCUGACAUAAUCAUGAAGCUGAAAAAGCCCAUUCCUAGAAAAAAUAAUGCUAAAUUAGAAGCAGGAUAAAGACUUUGUGAACUAACAGUGUAGCAUCAUUUAAAAACAGUCCUAGAUCCCAUGUCUUCUAUUCCAUCCAUGUGUUUUUCUUCUAAGUGCUAAAGUUUCUGGCUACGUCUUUCUUCCUAGCCAACCACUCCAACUCCCCAUCACCCAGCUGUCAACUCUGUGUACACAGCUGAAAAUAGACACAAUAGGAUGUGAGUGGAGGAGGAGAAAUAGGAACUCAUUUUUAAGUAGUGAGCCAUUUAAGCUGCAGACAAAAACAUAAGGAGGAAAGGCAUAAAAAUGGAUCUUGUAGAUGUC
rnacentral:lncRNA from 1 species